AAAUUGAAGAGUUUGAUCAUGGCUCAGAUUGAACGCUGGCGGCAGGCCUAACACAUGCAAGUCGAACGGUAACAGGAAUCAGCUUGCUGAUUCGCUGACGAGUGGCGGACGGGUGAGUAAUGUCUGGGAAACUGCCUGAUGGAGGGGGAUAACUACUGGAAACGGUAGCUAAUACCGCAUAACGUCGCAAGACCAAAGAGGGGGACCUUCGGGCCUCUUGCCAUCGGAUGUGCCCAGAUGGGAUUAGCUUGUUGGUGGGGUAACGGCUCACCAAGGCGACGAUCCCUAGCUGGUCUGAGAGGAUGACCAGCCACACUGGAACUGAGACACGGUCCAGACUCCUACGGGAGGCAGCAGUGGGGAAUAUUGCACAAUGGGCGCAAGCCUGAUGCAGCCAUGCCGCGUGUAUGAAGAAGGCCUUCGGGUUGUAAAGUACUUUCAGCGGGGAGGAAGGGAGUAAAGUUAAUACCUUUGCUCAUUGACGUUACCCGCAGAAGAAGCACCGGCUAACUCCGUGCCAGCAGCCGCGGUAAUACGGAGGGUGCAAGCGUUAAUCGGAAUUACUGGGCGUAAAGCGCACGCAGGCGGUUUGUUAAGUCAGAUGUGAAAUCCCCGGGCUCAACCUGGGAACUGCAUCUGAUACUGGCAAGCUUGAGUCUCGUAGAGGGGGGUAGAAUUCCAGGUGUAGCGGUGAAAUGCGUAGAGAUCUGGAGGAAUACCGGUGGCGAAGGCGGCCCCCUGGACGAAGACUGACGCUCAGGUGCGAAAGCGUGGGGAGCAAACAGGAUUAGAUACCCUGGUAGUCCACGCCGUAAACGAUGUCGACUUGGAGGUUGUGCCCUUGAGGCGUGGCUUCCGGAGCUAACGCGUUAAGUCGACCGCCUGGGGAGUACGGCCGCAAGGUUAAAACUCAAAUGAAUUGACGGGGGCCCGCACAAGCGGUGGAGCAUGUGGUUUAAUUCGAUGCAACGCGAAGAACCUUACCUGGUCUUGACAUCCACAGAACUUUCCAGAGAUGGAUUGGUGCCUUCGGGAACUGUGAGACAGGUGCUGCAUGGCUGUCGUCAGCUCGUGUUGUGAAAUGUUGGGUUAAGUCCCGCAACGAGCGCAACCCUUAUCCUUUGUUGCCAGCGGUCCGGCCGGGAACUCAAAGGAGACUGCCAGUGAUAAACUGGAGGAAGGUGGGGAUGACGUCAAGUCAUCAUGGCCCUUACGACCAGGGCUACACACGUGCUACAAUGGCGCAUACAAAGAGAAGCGACCUCGCGAGAGCAAGCGGACCUCAUAAAGUGCGUCGUAGUCCGGAUUGGAGUCUGCAACUCGACUCCAUGAAGUCGGAAUCGCUAGUAAUCGUGGAUCAGAAUGCCACGGUGAAUACGUUCCCGGGCCUUGUACACACCGCCCGUCACACCAUGGGAGUGGGUUGCAAAAGAAGUAGGUAGCUUAACCUUCGGGAGGGCGCUUACCACUUUGUGAUUCAUGACUGGGGUGAAGUCGUAACAAGGUAACCGUAGGGGAACCUGCGGUUGGA
rnacentral:rRNA from 1 species